rnacentral:rRNA from 1 species
UCGUAACAAGGUUUCCGUAGGUGAACCUGCGGAAGGAUCAUUGUCGAAACCUGCGCCAGCAGAGCGACCGCGAACACGUGAAAACAGCUGCCGCCGCCCGCCGGCCUCGGCCGCGCGGGCGCGGCGAUACAACGAACCCCGGCGCAGCCGCGCCAAGGAAAACAAACUGAGGACCGCCCCGCGGUGCGCGAUCCCCUCCCCCGGGAGGGGGCGCGCGCCGCCCGGCGACUUCGAAAACGUAAACAAAACGACUCUCGGCAACGGAUAUCUCGGCUCUCGCAUCGAUGAAGAACGUAGCGAAAUGCGAUACUUGGUGUGAAUUGCAGAAUCCCGUGAACCAUCGAGUCUUUGAACGCAAGUUGCGCCCGAAGCCAUUAGGCCGAGGGCACGUCUGCCUGGGCGUCACGCAACGCGUCGCCCCCCCUCCCCUUCCCCCGGGAAGGAGAGGAGGGGCGGAGGAUGGCCCCCCGCGGCCUCGCGCCGCGGCCGGCCCAAAAACGGAUUCGCCCCGACGACGGGUCGUCGCGACAGGUGGUGGCGUCAAGCUCAUCGAGUCCUGCCGUGCUUGCACCCGUCCCGGACCGCGUCUCCCACGACCCAAGCGGCUCCUUUGCCGGAGCAUCGACCGCGACCCCAGGUCAGGCGGGACUACCCGCUGAGUUUAAGCAUA